AGAGUUUGAUCAUGGCUCAGAGCGAACGCUGGCGGCGUGCUUAACACAUGCAAGUCGAACGCGCAGCAAUCUGUAGCAAUACAGGUUGUAGGCGCGUGGCGAACGGGUGCGUAACACGUGGAUAACCUUCCUUCAGGUGGGGAAUAACCCAGUGAAAAUUGGGCUAAUACCGCAUAACAAAACGGGAAGACAUCUUCUUGUUUUCAAAGGCGCAAGCCGCCAGAAGAGGGAUCCGCGGCCGAUUAGCUUGUUGGCGGGGUAAUGGCCCACCAAGGCAAUGAUCGGUAGCCGGACUGAGAGGUUGGCCGGCCACACUGGAACUGAGACACGGCCCAGACUCCUACGGGAGGCAGCAGUGGGGAAUCUUGCACAAUGGGCGAAAGCCUGAUGCAGCAACGCCGCGUGGGGGAUGAAGCUUCUCGGAGUGUAAACCCCUUUCGACCCGGAAGAAAGCCCGCAAGGGUUUGACGGUACGGGUAUAAGAAGCCCCGGCUAACUACGUGCCAGCAGCCGCGGUAAAACGUAGGGGGCCAGCGUUGCUCGGAAUUACUGGGCGUAAAGGGUCCGUAGGCGGUGUGGCAAGUCGGUAGUGAAAUCUCUGGGCUUAACCCAGAGGCUGCUGCCGAAACUGCCGUGCUAGAGUGUGAGAGAGGCGAGUGGAAUUACGGGUGUAGCGGUGAAAUGCGUAGAUAUCCGUAGGAACAUCCGAGGCGAAAGCGGCUCGCUGGAUCACAACUGACGCUGAGGGACGAAAGCUAGGGGAGCAAACAGGAUUAGAUACCCCUGUAGUCC
rnacentral:rRNA from 1 species